rnacentral:rRNA from 1 species
UACGUAGGUCCCGAGCGUUGUCCGGAUUUAUUGGGCGUAAAGCGAGCGCAGGUGGUUUAUUAAGUCUGGUGUAAAAGGCAGUGGCUCAACCAUUGUAUGCAUUGGAAACUGGUAGGCUUGAGUGCAGGAGAGGAGAGUGGAAUUCCAUGCGUAGCGGUGAAAUGCGUAGAUAUAUGGAGGAACACCGGUGGCGAAAGCGGCUCUCUGGCCUGUAACUGACACUGAGGCUCGAAAGCGUGGGGAGCAAACAGG